UUCCAGACUCCUACGGGAGGCAGCAGUGGGGAAUAUUGCACAAUGGGGGAAACCCUGAUGCAGCGACGCCGCGUGGGUGAAGAAGCGCCUCGGCGCGUAAAGCCCUGUCAGCAGGGAAGAAAAUGACGGUACCUGAAGAAGAAGCCCCGGCUAACUACGUGCCAGCAGCCGCGGUAAUACGUAGGGGGCAAGCGUUAUCCGGAUUUACUGGGUGUAAAGGGGGCGCAGACGGCGAUGCAAGCCAGGAGUGAAAGCCCGGGGCCCAACCCCGGGACUGCAUUUGAAACUGUCAGGCUGGAGUGCAGGAGAGGUAAGUGGAAUUCCUAGUGUAGCGGUGAAAUGCGUAGAUAUUAGGAGGAACACCAGUGGCGAAGGCGGCCUGCUGGGCUUUUACUGACGCUGAGGCUCGAAAGUGUGGGGAGCAAACAGGAUUAGAUACCCCCGUAA
rnacentral:rRNA from 1 species